UACGUAGGUGGCAAGCGUUGUCCGGAAUUAUUGGGCGUAAAGAGCUCGUAGGUGGUUCGGUAAGUCGGAUGUGAAAUCUCCAGGCUCAACCUGGAGGGGUCAUUCGAUACUGCCGUGACUAGAGUUCGGUAGAGGAGUGUGGAAUUCCUGGUGGAGCGGUGAAAUGCGCAGAGAUCAGGAGGAACACCCGUAGCGAAGGCGGCACUCUGGGCCGAUACUGACACUGAGGAGCGAAAGCGUGGGGAGCGAACAGG
rnacentral:rRNA from 1 species